rfam:Toxocara canis scaffold261, whole genome shotgun sequence.
GCCUGAGUAGCGCAGUCGGUUAGCGCGUCAGUCUCAUAAUCUGAAGGUCGUGAGUUCGAACCUCACCUCGGGCA